UACGUAGGAGACGAGCGUUGUUCGGAUUUACUGGGCGUAAAGGGCGCGUAGGCGGCCACCGCAAGUCGACUGUGAAAUCUCCGGGCUUAACCCGGAAAGGUCAGCCGAUACUGCGGGGCUAGAGUGCAGAAGGGGCAACUGGAAUUCUCGGUGUAGCGGUGAAAUGCGUAGAUAUCGAGAGGAACACCUGCGGCGAAGGCGGGUUGCUGGGCUGACACUGACGCUGAGGCGCGAAAGCUAGGGGAGCGAACGGG
rnacentral:rRNA from 1 species